UUUCCAUGCUGUGGAAGCUUUGUUCUUUUGCUCUUCGCAAUAAAUCUUGCUGCUGCUCACUCUUUGGGUUUGCCCUACCCUUAUGAGCUAUAACACUCACCGCGAAGGUCUGCAGCUUCACUCCUGAAGCCAGUGAGACCAGGAACGCACCAGGAGGAACCAACAAUUCCAGACAUGCCACCUUUAAGAGCUGUAACACUCACUGCAAAGGUCUGUGGCUUCACUCCUAAAGUCAGCGAGACCAUGAACCCAAUGAAAGAAAGAAACUCCAGACACAUCUGAAUAUCUGAAGGAACAAACUCCGGACACACCAUCUUUAAGAACUGUAACACUCACCACAAGGGUCUGCAGCUUCAUUCUUGAAGUCAGCGAAACCAAGAACCCACCGGAAGGAACCAAUUCUGGACGCAUUUUGGCGACCACGAAGGGACUAUCACCUAUCACUAAGCGUACAUGUGACCGAGAAAGAGAAGGGAAGAUGGAGCCGCCAUCUUCAACAGGAGUGGCACAACUGUCGGAUCUACGUCUGCAGCUGGAUUUUACAGGCUACUCUUCAUUAGAAAGGAAAACUUUACGGAGGACUUCCAUGCCUUCACUAUCUGCCUAAGUAAAUUCUUCUUAACUCCUG